UGUCCUGCAGAAAUGCGACCAAACUAUUGUUUGUGUUGCAACAGGGACAUUAUUCAGUGAUGCACCGAAAAUGCAGUAAAACUUUUGCGUUGAACGUGUCCGCCGAAGUUGUACGAUAAAUUACGGCCCAAGUUGGUGUAAAUAAUAAAUUAUGUAGUCCGUGUGUGAUAAAAGACAUAAUUUUACAAUUCCAAACCUAAAGCGGAGCUUAGCAGACCCCUUGUCGGGUAAAGUGAAUGCUGUUACCCCCGACGACAACGUCCGCCCUUGAGGGAACGUCUCAACAUUGGCUGCUGCGACGCGAGAAAUUUGGCUGCCAUCUUGAAGUGGUGAUGAGGAGCCGGCGAGCGACCUAAACUGACAGCUGACAGCCUGAGCGAACCCUCCCUCCACCAGCAGAAGGACAACUUCCUGUUUGAAGGCUUCUGCUGUCUUCUGCCCCAGCGACCACCGCCAUCUCCACCGUCUUGCAGGUCCAGCUGCCGGGUUCCCUCGCCUGCCUACAUUCACUUGGCCCACCCCAUCCAGCUGGGCUCCAGGCGCCACCCCGCCCGGCCUGCGUCCAACAGGUGAACGGCGAGCUCGCUCCGAGGCGACCUCCGGCCUUCUGGGGCACGGCCGCACUGUCCACCGUCGCAGCCAAACCAGCUGUGUGUGAUCGGGAAGCCGUGUGUUCUGAGCUGCGGGCGGCGGCCCGUCACGGCGGCUCCUUCGGGCGGUCCGGGGCGCCAGCAUCUCCACGUGUUCCUACCUGCGGAGGCGCAGGAAGAGGCGGAUUCUGCGGGCGAAGACUUCAUGGAUGAACUGGACAUUAAGAUAACGUCACUGAGGUUGCAGCAGGAAGACCACAGUGAACUUAAAACGCCGCCAUGAUUGUGAGGCUCUAAGUCAGGGUGUCCAAAAUGUGGACCGGGGGCCAUUUGUGGCCCGCAGAAAUUUUUUAAAAAUGUAAAACAUUUUUAACUGUCCAUCCAUCCUCUUCCGCUUAUCCAAGGUCGGGUCGCGGGGGGCAGCAGCCUAAGCAGGGAAGCCCAGACUUCCCUCUCCCCAGCCACUUCGUCUAGCUUCUCCCGGGGGAUCCCGAGGUGUUCCCAGGCCAGGCGGGAGACAUAGUCUCCCCAACGUGUCCUGGGUCUUCCCCGUGGCCUCCUACCAGUUGGACGUGCCAUUUGGGUGGAAUCCUGACCAGAUGCCCGAGCCACCUCAUCUGGCUCCUCUCCAUGUGGAGGAGCAGCGGCUUUACUUUGAGUUCCCCCCGGAUGACAGAGCUCCUCGCCCUAUCGCUAAGGGAGAACCCCGCCACCCGGUGGAGGAAACUCAUUUCGGCCGCUUGUACCCGUGAUCUUGUCCUUUCAAUCAUAACCCAAAGCUCAUGACCAUAGGUGAGGAUGGGAACGUAGUUCGACCGGUAACUUGAGAGCUUUGCCUUCCGGCUCAGCUCCUUCUUCACCACAACGACUACAGGCUUGUUUGUGUUUUAUUUUUUCCUCUGUGUGUUUAGUAUUUCCUGUCCUUAGUUCCUGUCAGCACUCUUAUUUUGGUUCUGCUUCCUGUUUGUCUCCCUGAGUGUUUUGUUUCGCCUUAGCUGCAGCUGAUUGGCACCUGGCCACACCUGGUGUCAAUCAGCCCGCUCCUAUUUUACCUGCUUUGUUCCUACAGUCAGUGCUGGAUUAUUGUCAUGCCGAUGUCGCUCCUGUCGCAUCGUGUCGUAUCUUGUCUUGUCUAUGCGGGGCGGCAUGGCGUAUUGGGUAGAGCGGCCGUGCCAGAAACCGGAGGGUUGCAGGUUCGCCUCCCACCUAUUGACAUCCAAAUUGCUGCCGUUGUGUCCUUGGGCAGGACACUUCACCCUUGCCCCCGGUGCCGCUCACUGGUGAAUGAAUGAUGAAUGAAAGAUGGGUGGUGGUCGGAGGGGCCGUAGGCGCAAACUGGCAGCCACGCUUCCGUCAGUCUACCCCAGGGCAGCUGUGGCUACAGAUGUAGCUUACCACCACUAGGUGUGAAUGAAUGAUGGGUUCCCACUUCUCUGUGAGCGUUUUGAGUAUCUAAUAAUAGGAAAGCGCAAUAUAAAUCUAAUCCAUUAUUAUUCAUUAUUAUUAUUAUCAUUAUUAUGCAGCGUUGCGAUAAGCUAUGUUUGAUUGCGUUUUUUUAGCUUACUGCCUUUUGUUCCCUGCUUCCAAGUUUGUUUUUAUAUUACCUGUACGACUUCUGUUUCCUGCUCGAUUCUUGCUAGCUUCCAUGCUAAGUUCCUUUUUGUUUUCUAGCUCCCAUGCUAGCUCUCUUAGUUUGUUAUCCGCCUCGUGCGCGGUUUGUGUUAGUACCCUUUUGUUUGUUCUUGUUUUAGUAUUUAUAUUAAAUCAUGUUUUCCUGCAAAAUGCCUCCCUCCUUCUCUGUAUCUUUGGGUUCGUCACAAACUAACUUUGACAAAUGGAUCUUUUUUCAAAAAUAAUUAUGGAUCAAAAGCAAUGUGGUUUUGAGUUAUUUGACCCAGCAGGCAGAUGACAUUGACACAACGUUGAUUAUACGUACAUGUCCUUUAAAACUGACUUUGAAACGACGUUGCAAAAUAGUUGUAUUUUUAAAUUUAAGACAACGUUGAUGUCCAACGUUGGAUCCAUCUUAUUGGUUGGGAAAUGACCAUUGACCAAGCUGACAUUGAAUAAAUUUAGUCAAAAAGCUUGUUGUUUCAACGUGUUUGUGUUGUCGAAUUUUGGUUGGAAAAAUGACCAAAUUUCAAUGAUCGAAUCAACGUUGUCUAAAAGUACGUUGUUUCAAUUAUGAAUUUGUGUUGUCCAAUUUUGGUUGGAAAAAUGACCAAAUUUCAAUGGUUGAAUCAACAUCACAAGCUGACAUUGAAGAAACGUAAAAAAGUAUGUUGUUUCAAUGCUGUAUUUGUGUUGUCAAAUUUUAAUGGUGGAAUCAACGUCACAAGCUGACAUUGAAUAAAAUGUGGUCAAAAGCAUGUUGUUUCAAUGUAUUUUGGUUGGAAAAAAUACGACAUUUCAAUGGUUGAAUCAACGUCACAAGCUGACAUUGAAUAAACGUCAAAAAGUACAUUGUUUCAAUGUUGUAUUUGUGUUGUCAAAUUUUAAUGGUGGUAUCAACGUCUCAAGCUGACAUUGAAUAAAUGUAGUCAAAAAGCUUGUUGUUUCAACGUGUUUGUGUUGUCGAAUUUUGGUUGGAAAAAUGACCAAAUUUCAAUGAUCGAAUCAACGUUGUCUAAAAGUACGUUGUUUCAAUUAUGAAUUUGUGUUGUCCAAUUUUGGUUGGAAAAAAUGACCAAAUUUCAAUGGUUGAAUCAACAUCACAAGCUGACAUUGAAUAAAUGCAGUCAAAAAGCAUGUUGUUUCAACGUGUUUGUGUUGUCUAAAAGUAUGUUGUUUCAAUUAAGAAUUUGUGUUGUCAAAUUUUGGUUUGAAAAAAGACCAAAUUUCAAUGGUUGAAUCAACAUCGCAAGCUGACAUUGAAUAAACGUCAAAAAGUACAUUGUUUCAAUGUUGUAUUUGUGUUGUCAAAUUUUAAUGGUGGAAUCAACGUCUCAAGCUGACAUUGAAUAAAUUUAGUCAAAAAGCUUGUAGUUUCAAUGUAUUUGUGUUGUCAAAUUUUGGUUGGAAAAAUGACCAAAUUUCAAUGGUUGAAUCAACAUCACAACCUGACAUUGAAUAAACGUAAAAAAGUAUGUUGUUUCAAUGUUGUAUUUGUGUUGUCAAAUUUUAAUGGUGGAAUCAACGUCACAAGCUGACAUUGAAUAAAAUGUGGUCAAAAAGCAUGUUGUUUCAAUGUAUUUUGUUUGGAAAAAAUACCACAUUUCAAUGGUUGAAUCAACGUCACAAGCUGACAUUGAAUAAACGUCAAAAAGUACAUUGUUUCAAUGUUGUAUUUGUGUUGUCAAAUUUUAAUGGUGGUAUCAACGUCUCAAGCUGACGUUGAAUAAAUGUAGUCAAAAAGCUUGUUGUUUCAACGUGUUUGUGUUGUCAAAUUUUGGUUGGAAAAAUUACCAAAUUUCAAUGAUCGAAUCAACGUUGUCUAAAAGUACGUUGUUUCAAUUAUGAAUUUGUGUUGUCCAAUUUUGGUUGGAAAAAUGACCAAAUUUCAAUGGUUAAAUCAACAUCACAAGCUGACAUUGAAUAAAUGCAGUCAAAAAGCAUGUUGUUUCAACGUGUUUGUGUUGUCUAAAAGUAUGUUGUUUCAAUUAAGAAUUUGUGUUGUCAAAUUUUGGUUUGAAAAAAGACCAAAUUUCAAUGUUAAAAUCAACGUCACAAGCUGACAUUGAAUAAACGUCAAAAAGUACAUUGUUUCAAUGUUGUAUUUGUGUUGUCAAAUUUUAAUGGUGGAAUCAACGUCUCAAGCUGACAUUGAAUAAAUGUAGUCAAAAAGCUUGUAGUUUCAACGUAUUUGUGUUGUCAAAUUUUGGUUGGAAAAAUGACCAAAUUUCAAUGGUUGAAUCAACAUCACAACCUGACAUUGAAUAAACGUAAAAAAGUAUGUUGUUUCAAUGUUGUAUUUGUGUUUUCAAAUUUUAAUGGUGGAAUCAACGUCACAAGCUGACAUUGAAUAAAAUGUGUUCAUAAAGCAUGUUGUUUCAAUGUAUUUUGGUUGGAAAAAAUACCACAUUUCAAUGGUUGAAUCAAUGUCACAAGCUGACAUUGAAUAGAUAUAGUCGAAAAGCUUGUUGUUUCAACGUGUUUGUGUUGUCGAAUUUUGGUUGGAAAAAUUACCAAAUUUCAAUGAUCGAAUCAACGUUGUCUAAAAGUACGUUGUUUCAAUUAUGAAUGUGUGUUGUCCAAUUUUGGUUUGAAAAAUGAUCAAAUUUCAAUGGUUGAAUCAACAUCACAAGCUGACAUUGAAUACAUGUAGUCAAAAAGCAUGUUGUUUCAACGUGUUUGUGUUGUCUAAAAGUAUGUUGUUUCAAUUAGGAGUUUGUGUUGUCAAAUUUUGGUUUGAAAAAAUACCAAAUUUCAAUGUUAGAAUCAACGUCACAAGCUGACAUUGAAUAAACGUCAAAAAGUACAUUGUUUCAUUGUUGUAUUUGUGUUGUCAAAUUUCAAUGGUGGAAUCAACGUCUCAAGCUGACAUUGAAUAAAUGUAGUCAAAAAGCUUGUAGUUUCAACGUAUUUGUGUUGUCAAAUUUUGGUUGGAAAAAUGACCAAAUUUCAAUGGUUGAAUCAACAUCACAACCUGACAUUGAAUAAACGUAAAAAAGUA